rnacentral:tRNA from 2 species
GCGGAAGUGGCGAAAUUGGUAGACGCACUAGACUUAGGAUCUAGCGCCAUAAGGUGUGAGAGUUCGAGUCUCUCCUUCCGCACCA